rnacentral:ribozyme from 13 species
UGAAAGAAAGAGAAGAAAGAGAAGGAGGAAAAGCGAAAGAGAAAGAGAAAGAGCAAUAUGAAGUGUCCUUUCUUGUGUGUUCCUAUUGUUCU